GUCAGGUGUGGUGGCUCACACCUGUAAUCCCAGCACUUUGGGAGGCUGAGACAGGCGAAUCACUUGAGGUCAGGAGUUCGAAACCAGCCUGGCCAACAUAGUGAAACCCUGUCUCUA
rnacentral:SRP_RNA from 1 species